AUGAAAGAAGAGGAGGGAGAGGAGGAGGAGGAGGAAGAAGAAGAAGAGGAGGAGGAGGAGGAGGAGAAGAGGGGCUCUGUGAAGACCAAACAGCAUUUUACAGCACUUCCUGACUACCCAAAGCACAUCAAACUGGACAAGCACAGGUUGGCCUCCCCCCCCUCCACCACCACCACCACCACCACCACCACUACUGACUUUAUAUUAACAGAUUUAUAUAUUGAAGAUAUUUUUCCUUUUAGUUUUGAAGAAGAGGAGGAGGAAGAGGAAGAGGAAGGAGGAGGAGGAGGGUUAGGUGUGGCCCUCCCUCCCCCUCCCACACCACUGCAGUCCCAGCCUCUGAUUGGCCAGCUCUCAGCCAAUCAAGAGAGAGACUUUAUGGCCUUGCAGGUUGAAUUGAGUGAAGCAAGAGUGGAAGUAGAGAGGCCUUGAGAGACAG